rnacentral:rRNA from 1 species
GACGAACGCUGGCGGCGUGGAUUAGGCAUGCAAGUCGAACGGUAUCAUCCUUUCGGGGGUGAGAGAGUGGCGAACUGGUGAGUAACACGUAGGUUAUCUACCCUCAAGACGGGGACAACCCAGGGAAACUUGGGCUAAUACCGGAUGUGAGCAACUUUUAGUUGUUUGAAAGGUGGCGUAAGCUGUCGCUUGGGGAUGAGCCUGCGUCCUAUUAGUUAGUUGGUGAGGUAACGGCUCACCUAGGCAAUGAUAGGUAGGCGGCCUUAACGGGUGGUCGCCCACACUGGGAUUGAGAUACGGCCCAGACUCCUACGGGAGGCAGCAGUCGAGAAUAGUCUACAAUGGUCGGAAGACUGAUAGUGCGACGCCGCGUGAACGAUGAAUCCCUUCGGGGUGUAAAGUUCUUUUAUAUGUGAGCAGUGCUUCUUAUAUUAACAGUAUGGGGAGAGAGAUAUUAGCAUAUGAAUAAGCAACGGCUAACUCCGUGCCAGCAGCCGACGGUAAU